rnacentral:lncRNA from 1 species
AUGGGUAGCCAGCUGGAGGACAUCACCACCUGCCCUCUGAGGCCACAACAAAGUUGCAAUAAAGUGGCACAAAACUGUGAACCCUUGACCACAAGACACGGCGGCUGCCCAGCUGUGGAGGGAGACCGGUCAGGGGAGAGGAUGCAGGGGUGUUUUCUGCUUGGGGCGGCUUUUCCGACAACAGGAACCUCGCAAACAUCUGUGUCUGUGGAGGACUCUCCCCGGUGCCAGCAGGAGGCGAGCUCAGCUGCCGCUGUGGGAAAGCCCGAGUGUGAGCCGAGCGAGGCCCGGCUGGUGGGGAGGAGCCGGACUGUGAGAAUUUGUCCCACAGCCUUUCUGGGACCGAAACAUGGGCGAACGUCAAGAAGUGCAUAACAUGUUUUAUUAACCAGGCUGCUCAUUUGCGUUUGGAGGGCGGGUUCCAAGGCCUCUCUCCCCCGCCGCAGAUGGUAGCGUGAACAGAAGCACACAGAGAGCCAGAGGGGGUCUGGGGUCCUGUCUGGAAUGAGCGCAGAACGGGACUUCUGAUGAUCCACCACGAGACCCACCCCCUGAGCACAGGGUAACAACUCCACGUGACCCCUGCUCUCUCCAGUCUCAGGCUCUGGAUCUGCCCGGGAUUGCAAAUUCUUCAGCUGAGUUCCAGAAACAGUGGAGGGUGGACUUCUUCGGGGGCUGUGUUUAGACCCAGCCCAUGAGAACACGGAGAGGGGUGGAGGGUCCUUUAUGCGGGUCCCCUCAGCCUGAUACAGUGUAGCUGAGGCACAGUGCCCCCCAAGGCCCCCACAGACAGCAGCCCCGAUGGGGACUCGGCAUCACCUUCGAGGGGGAGCAGCUUGCCCUUCACGGGCUCAGAGAGAAGUGGUGGCUGUGUUGGUGGAAUGUCACGUUUUCUUUUUCAAACGCACGGCCAGUUGUCGCAUCAUCUUUUAUUGAGAGAAGUAUCUCUUCUGCACUGACACGAAGGGCCAGCUUCCUCCUAAAUUAAAUCCCCACGAGCACGUGGUUCUGUCUCUGGUCUUUCAGUCCUGACCGCGGAGCCAUUUGUCGACAUCUGCACAACUACACUGUGCGCUGAUCACGCUGGCUCCACAGCGAGCUCCUUCUCCCAGGCCUCUUAAAAACACUGCUCAACUCAUCCGGCGAAUUUUCUGUCCCGCACGAAGCGUAGAAUCGCGUGUUUCAAAUCGGCCCUGUUGGGGAUUCUCUCGGGCGUGCUCUGAGUGUGUGGGCGCAGUUUGGAAAACCGACACUUAUGUGCGUGGAGUCCUCUGCUCAGGGACGGGCGUGUCUCCGCUUACUCAGAGCUUCAGCACAGUUUUCUGGUUUUCUUUUAUGUCAGAUCCACCCACUUCUUGGUCUACUCCUGGGUCUU